ACCGCCGUUGCCAUGGCGGCGGCGCGGUCUGCUCGGAGCGGGCCGGGACGCCGCGCCCUGUGACCCCUCCCGGAGGCAGAGGAUGGCUGAGGUUGGAAAGCGCCUCCGGAGGUCAUGGAAUCCGCCCUCCUGCUCCCCUAGAGCGCGCUGUCCGGCACUGUGUCCAGGGAAGGAGAUUCCGUGGCCCUCUGCCGUCCGCCCCACACUGAGGCCUGAAAGAUUCCCCUUCCCAAGUGGCGCUGCGCGCACACUUCUGCUUUGCGUCCUUCCAGUCAAAGCUGUGUGACCCCCUGGGCUGCCUGUGACGGCCCGCUGUUCGGCGUCCCCCAGCCUUCCACCGAUGGCCAAAAGGCUCGAGAAAGCAGGAGCGUGCCCUGCCUGGGAGGAAGCACCAGAUAUUGAGAAUGAAAAGAAAGUGAAGCAUUCAGCUUUCCGAAGCAUUCAGCUCUGUGAAUAUACAUGAAUUAACCAGCACAGUGCAGGUAUAAUGGAAGGGCUUCCUGGUCAUUCUGGAGCAUCAGCAGCUGUACCUGGAUGUGAAUUGCACUGUGAUACAGAGCCGUAUUACUGGAAGAGGAGAAUGUGCCAAAAGGUGUUUUGCUCAAUGAAAAAGUGCAGUAAAUUUGAGCCGUAUCAGUGGCAGCAGCAUUGGCUUCUGUAGAAUGUCAAUAGAAGUUAUGCUUCAGAUCCAGAUGUGCAGAGGAAGAAGACUUUCCUUCCACAGCUCUGUGGGUCCUUCUAGCUGUUACAUACCGACCUGUCACAGAGGGGGUUCUUCAGAAUUUGUUCCUGGGAGACCUAUUUUGCAAGCUUGUCUGCUGAAACUUCUGUAGAGAAGAAAGCAGACGGAGCCUUUUCAGAUUGCAGCUUCCCAGUUGCUGUGUUGAAAGCAUGAAGCAAAAGUGAAACCGAGGGAGAAACUGGAGCUGCCUCAUCAGUGCCAUUUCCAUACCGUGUCUGGUCUCUGGAGAAGGACAGCACGGAUGAAUUUGUGCAACAAGCCAACCAGCCAUAGAAGAUUAUAUCUUACAAGAAAAUCCACUUGUGGUGACUUGUAAGCUACGUUGGCCAUCCCUCACCCACAGUGGUAAGCAGUCUUCUGAGAUCCGCGAGAAUCUUUUUGGUAUACCUGGAAAUUAGUCUGAUUAUUUAAGUUUCUAAAGACAGAAUUGAGAAUCCACCUUCUGUGGACUAAAGAAUCUGUUUAGUGCUUGUUUCUCGUCUUGGCUGUUCUACUACAGUGAGCUUUACCACUUGAAUUCACUGAUUGAAGUUUUAAGCCGAAUAAAGCCUCUAUUUAU
rnacentral:lncRNA from 7 species